rnacentral:rRNA from 1 species
GUAGGGAAUAUUGGGCAAUGGAUGCAAGUCUGACCCAGCCAUCCCGCGUGCCGGAAGAAGGCCCUCAGGGUUGUAAACGGCUUUUGACGGUGAAGAAUCGACAGGAUGCGUCCUGUUUUGACGGUAGCCGUUGAAUAAGCACCGGCUAACUCCGUGCCAGCAGCCGCGGUAAUACGGAGGGUGCGAGCGUUGUCCGGAUUUAUUGGGUUUAAAGGGUGCGUAGGCUGGAAGGUCAGUCAGCGGUGAAAAGCGGUCGCUUAACGAUAGUCUUGCCGCAGAUACUUCCUUUCUUGGAUGAGGAGGAGGCCACUGGAACGGAUGGUGUAGCGGUGAAAUGCAUAGAUAUCAUCCAGAACACCGAUUGCGAAGGCAGGUGGCUGUACCUUAAUCGACGCUGAUGCACGAAAGCAUGGGGAGCAAACAGGAUUAGAUACCCUUGUAGUCC